CGGAUUAGAUACCCUGGUAGUCCACGCCGUAAACGAUGGAUGCUAGUUGUCAGGCAGCAUGCUGUUUGGUGACGCAGCUAACGCAUUAAGCAUCCCGCCUGGGGAGUACGGCCGCAAGGUUAAAACUCAAAGAAAUUGACGGGGGCCCGCACAAGCGGUGGAGCAUGUGGUUUAAUUCGAAGCAACGCGCAGAACCUUACCUACCCUUGACAUACCAAUCGCGGAUUACAGAGAUGUUUUCCU
rnacentral:rRNA from 1 species